rfam:Collimonas fungivorans Ter331, complete genome.
UGUCUCCUCCACCCCUCCACAGGAGUGGAUUUAAACCCGACGCCACAGCGCAGUUCGGGUUUUCUUUU